rnacentral:lncRNA from 1 species
CCUAUUUCCCCCUUUCUCAUCUCUUAACUUGUCUCUCUCACCUCCGCCGUCCGCCACUCGCCCGAAAAUCGCCUACGGCGGCAGCAACACCCUAAACCACCCCAAAUUGACACCAAAUAAUCUCCAACACCCCUUAAUCAUCAUCCUACCACUAAUUUCCUCAAAAUUCCCACGCUUCUUCUCCAAUUUAGGAUCUAAGAAGUUACAGAAAACCUAAAUUCCCCUAUUUCGAGUGUCCCUAAAUUCCAACCUACCUGAGGUUCAUACCAACCUUAAUUGAACACUCUUGUCAAGAGUUAUCAAAUUGAAGUCAAUUUUGGACCUAUUCUAGGCCACCCGAACCCGGCCACUACCAUGAAAGCCCCAUAAGUUGAUUUCUUUUGCUGCAUAUAGCAUUGGAUAUGCCCUCAAUGUGGGUUAAUGCUCAUGUAGCGAUGCCGGCUAUAGCCGGAUAUCUCUUUUCCCAGGCAGUUUUGUUCAUUAUUGGUAACCCUCCUUUUCACUUCUUUAAUUACUACUUAUCUUAUUUAAUUGCUUGAUAUUUUCUGUUACAUGUUAUAGACAUCAUGUUUAGUUUAGUUUCGAUUUAGUUAAAUUGUCAAUUGAUAAUUGUGUGAAGGUUGCAUCAAUAUAUAAUUGUUAGCAUAUUUCUUUUCCCAAGGUUUAGCAUGUUCUAGGUUAGGUAAGAUUUCAAAUCCAUUGCUUCUAUGUAGGCCAAUAUUUUAGAUGCAUAGUAUGCAGUUUCAAUUAAGUCAAAGUAAUCUUGAUUAGCUAAUUGUAUGUUUAAAUUCGUUUAAUCACCUAAAUAGGCUAAAGUUUGAAUAUUGCUUGUUGUGCUGUGAUUUUUUAUUUAUGAGUUUUUUUGUGAUAGUUGUUUGUAAUUACUGAAAUUCAGAGGUCUAAAAGAAAUGGAAAAAAUGGAGGAAUCUGUUUUGUUUGGUUGGAAAUACAUUAAAAUGGGGAAUAAGUUUAAAUGUUGGGGUAAGAAUUGGAUGAUAAAAAGUUUAAAAGGGUCUGGGAAUAAAAGAAGCUUCUAGACCCAAUCUGUUAAGAAAAGAGAUGAGAGCGAGAGGAAAUAUCCAAACACUGGACAGCGGUCCAUUUUUCUAUUUUAGAAGAUGCCAAUUUCCUAAUUUUAAGGGGAUGCUGGCAGAUUCCCUCAACCUCUCUCGUUCUUUAUCAUUUUGCACUCUUAUACCCUAUAAAAGAGACCUCACACUCCCUCGGACUGGACACACGAAAAAUACCUCAGAAAAUUGAAGACUAUCUUUCAGAAAUUCCUCUUUUCAUUCUCAUUCUGAUUUUCGUUUCUUCUUGAGUUUAAAUCUAUAAAUAGAAAAAAAAAAGAGGAAGAAUUUCAAAGCUGUUGGUUCUUUCCACUUUGCUAUUGGUCUUUUUUUUUGCUCGAAUUAUGAUGGGAUUUCUAGUUGGUUGUUGUUUCUCUUGUUCUUGAAUUGCUGGGAUUCUUCUUUUGUUGGCCACAUUUCAUUUUGUCGAUCUUUUACUCAUGUUGGUUCCUGUUGCUGUAUUUGUUUUUGUUGUUGCCUUUUUUGCCAGUUUCAAAGAUUUAUUUUCUGUCUGUUUUGAUUCUGCUGUAACCAUGUAUGAAGCCGAGCAUCUGUUUCUUCCAUGGUUGUGUACAAGAAGUUUGGAAAUAAUUGUAGGAUUCCAUAUUGAUGCAGGAGUGUUUGUUUAAAACUUCUAAUUUUGUGUUAUGUGGUUUAGUUCCUAGUCGAUAUGUAAUGUUAAACAUUUUUAUUAAAUCUUCGAGUUGGUAUAGUCUAUUGGUAGAUUUGAAGUGAUUUGGAAAACCUGUUUAUUACUUGUGAGUUUAUGACUUGGUUUGAACUUGAGUUUAACACACUUGUGCUGAAGGGUUCUGAAUAGCAAAUUUAACCAUCAAUGAUGUUAUUUUUAGCUUCUUUUGUCAUUAUAGAAGGAUUUGGUUAAAAAAAAUAUAUUUUGUGACAACAGUGGAGUAACAGCAUGUUUGGACGCUCAAACGUAGCCUAGAGAUUAGCCAUUCCAUUUUGGCUUGUUUACUUGUUGGAUAUCCUAUUGUUGUGAUUAAUAGUCAUUUGUUUCUCAUGAACAAUUGAAAGCAUUGGUGACAAACAUAGAAGUCUGGCCAGUGCUUGGCUUGAUUUUUAAGUUCCACUACUUGAAAGUGGUCAUUUAUGUAAUAGGUUAAUUUAUGUAAUAAUUUGUUGCAUCAAUGGUGGAUACAGUUGUAUAAAUUGAAAAAGGAUCGAUAGCUAUUAUUCAGGAGUAUAAAUUUCCAAUCAUGGAAUGCUGUCCUACAGUGACAAAAAAAUAAAGUAUUGUCGAAAAAUGCCUCGCAAAAUGACCAAUUAAAGUCUUCAUUUAUGGCAGGACAAUGGUAUCCAAGGUCAUUAUCUCCCGACGCACAAUGAAUUCUCAGUUGUGGGGAAUCAGAAGGAAGUUUGUUGAUAACAUGUACCUGAAACUUCGUAGUAAAGAUGCAUUUUUUUGCUAUUGAAAGGUUAAGGGGCAUUAACAACAAGAAGAUGUUGAUCAAGGAGAGAGUCAUAUUGAGAAAAUAAUAAGUAUGGCAAAAAGUAAAGGAGGUUCUAGAGUUUUAUACACAAAAUCUUGAUAUGGAUUCCUGCAAUUUGUACCUUUCUGAAAUCCUUUAAUGUUUUUUUUACACUCUCGUUAAAUUUGAUGAAAGAUAAUUAAUUAAGACAUGAUUAAAUUAAAAAAAAUAUUUAUUAUCUAACUGAUUAAAAUUUUAGAUGAUUCAUCAUAUAACUAAAUUCCUAUAUAGACAUUAAAACUUUGAUUGGGUAAAGUCUAUACAAAUUUAAGUUGGCUUUAAGUCCUAAUUAGAGCUGUCAAAAUGGGCCACCCGGUCCAACCCAGUUCAAGUCUCGCGGGCUUUUAAAUUUGGUAGGCUAGGACGGACCGGCCAGCCGUUUGAGUGGCCCUUAAAAUGGCCAGCCCAACCUAGGCCUAAAAAGACCGCAGGCUAGGUUUGAUCAGUCCUUCAUUUUUAUUAAAAGAAAAAUUCUUUAAAUCUUUAAAAAUUUCUUCAUGACAUAUUCUCUUAAUCACGUGAACAACUUCUGUUUGCUUAGAGCAUAUAGCCUGAUAUUUGACAAAGAAUCUCGUAAUUAAAGUGCUAAGUUAUCUAUAACUUUAGUUCUUCUUUUUGUCGUUAGAUGAAUAUUUUUUUAUAAGUUUAUAGACCAAGGUCUUUUAUUUUAGGAUAAACACCAUUUACUAAUUUCAUCAUUAAGUCAAUAAAAAUUUUAAAAUUCAUGAAAAUUUACAAGUAUUAUGAUUUUUUUCGGGUAUUAAAAAAUAAUCUUUUCUAUACUGAAGAAAAUUUAUUUAUUAAUAAUAUAUUAGAGUAAUCCAAAAUGAUCAUUGGCCAACAUAAUAUUUUUCUUUGGGAAAAAUUAUUAUUGGUCAUUUAAAAUUUUCUUAGUUCGUUAUUAAUCAAGCAAAAGAAAUAUUAAUCUUGUCAUACUACAUGUAUAUCAAAAAUCUGAAUUCUAGUUGAUAUGGAAGAGCAAAUGAGCAAUCUAGGGUUGAUGAAUGAAGAUUAUGGUUAAUAGAAUAAAUAUUAAAUAUUUAAAUUUAUUUAAUUAACUUUUGGCUCGUGGGCUGUCCCAAGCCUAGCCUUGGUCAAGCCUCAAGGACUAACACGCACACAUGGCCGAGCUUAUAAGUCUAAGUUUUAAUUAGGAUAAAAAUAUUUUAACCUAGCACUAUCCAAAUAGCGGGCCUGGUUGGGCUGGCCUCACAGGCCAAACUCAUUAUAACGGGCCUAGUCCUAAUUAAAAAAUGAUUGGCACAUAUAAAUAUUAGAAUGAUAUGGAAAUUACAAAAUUACAAUGAAGAAGAUGGAAGAAUCGGUGAUAUAUUCCGUGGCAGAUCCAAUGAUCAUUUCGAGUGCUCAACCGCCCAUUACCAUUGACUAGAUUUAGUAAAUUCGCUUAGGCGAUUAAAAUAUAUUUGGAUAAUAUUGAGUGGCUCACCCAUAAUUAAACUCUUUUUUUCUCUUUUUUCAAACUUUUUAUUGGCUAUCACAUCCAUAACUUUAAAUUUCUGGAUCCGCUACUAAUAUAUUUAUCAUGUAUUUAAUGCACAUUCAUCGAGAAUGAUGGCAAUAAAUUUUCAAGUUUUCGAUGGGCUGCCAGUCCAAAAGAAGGAAAACCACAAGGCUUAGUCACUUCUUCUCCCCUUAGCCAUUGAUGUCCCUACACCCUGUGUAGGGACUUUCCAUCUUGUGUUAGCCCCUACACCUUUUUAAUAAUAUUUAUCCUUUUAUUAUUGUAGAGAAGCAAGUUCUAUCAGUAAAUCAAGCGUAUGCAGUAGCUGUGC